CCUACGGGAGGCAGCAGUGAGGAAUCUUGGUCAAUGGGCGCGAGCCUGAACCAGCCAAGUCGCGUGAGGGAUGACGGUCCUACGGAUUGUAAACCUCUUUUGCCGGGGAGCAAGCGUGCGUUCGUGAACGCGCGUCGAGAGUACCCGGAGUAAAAGCAUCGGCCAAAUCCGUGCCAGCAGCCGCGGGAAUACGGGGGAUGCGAGCGUUAUCCCGAUUUAUUGGGUUUAAAGGGUGCGUAGGCGGGAUGCCAAGUCAGCGGUAAAAAGGCGGUGCUCAAAGCCGUCGAGCCGUUGAAACUGGCGUUAUUGGGUGGGCGAGAAGUAUACGGAA
rnacentral:rRNA from 1 species